GUGACCUUCAGGAAGAACCCCGUGAGCUCAUUUACAGUAUUUAAAACAUAUACUUUGGCCUAAAUUCUGAAUUUCACGUUGAAUUCUCCUGUUGGUAAAUAGCCCUGAUAAACUCAACAUAUUGAUAUAUGGCAUAGAUUGGUGGAAGUUAUACUCCCAAGCAGCAGUCUGGGGCACUUAUGUUCUGGUGUAGCCCCAAGAGUAUGGGCUGCAGCACUGCAUGAAUUAUCGUUUUACUGCCCGCUAUCUUUCAAGGAUUUAAAAACUUUACAAGCAAUACAUCUUUAUAUGAAAGACAAAAACUACAGAAAAAACAAAAACAAAUGAAAUCCAACAUCAGAUUAUGACAAAAUAAUGCAAAUAAACAAAUUACAUUGAGCUAUGGAAAAUGACAUCUUUGUAAACAAAAUCAGAUAUAUUCACACACACACUUUUAAAAUCAAAUCCACGUAAGAGUGAGCAAAAGGCUUUAUCUAGAAAACUGGUGAACAUGUUGACUGCAG